CCGACAGAGCAGCCUGCACGCGGCUGAGAAGGCCGCGCGGCUCUGCCGCUGCUGCCAGGAUGGAUGCCGCCCGCUCCCUCCAGGAGCCCUGCGCUGACGGCUAUUACAGAAUGCCCUUGCACUGAGCUUUUCUGGAAGAAGCAAGAAUUAACUAGCAAUCCCUCAAUGUGCAUCCUUCUAUUCAAAUUUGACCCUCGACCAGUUUCAAAAAAUGCAUACAGGCUUAUUCUAGCAGCUAAUAGAGAUGAAUUUUACCACAGACCAUCUAAAUCAGCAGAUUUUUGGGACAGCAGCAAUGAAAUCCUUAGUGGUCUGGAUAUGGAGGAAGGAAAAGAAGGUGGGACAUGGCUAGGAAUCAGUAAGAAAGGCAAGAUGGCAGCCCUGACCAACUAUAUGCAGCCAAAGAUUGACAAAAAUGCAAAAGGGAGAGGUGCUCUUGUAGCAAACUUCCUGACUUCAGAUCUGGACAGCUAUUCUUACUUGAAGAACGUUUCAGUAGAAGGACAUCUUUACAAUGGAUUUAACUUGAUAGCGGCUGACUUGAAUACCACCAAAGGAGAUGUAAUUUGCUACUAUGGAAACAAAGGAGAACCAGAACCUGUUUUCCUAAAUCCUGGAACGUAUGGAUUGAGUAAUUCUUUGUUGGAUACACCAUGGAAGAAAGUUCAAUAUGGGAAGCAGCUUUUCACAGAAGUGAUCAAGAGAAGUCAAGACCUUACCAAAGAAGACUUGGUGCAGGAGCUCCUUACAGUGAUGAAUAAUCAAGAACCUCAAUUGCCAGACCCUGCCAUUGAAGACCAAGGGAGGGAUUACAUACGUCCUAUAUUAAACAAAUAUGCAGCUGUGUGUGUUCGAUGCCCUGGUUAUGGAACAAGGACUAACACAGUCAUUCUCAUUGAUUCAGAAGGAGAGGUUACUUUCACAGAGCGCAACAUGAUCAAUGCAGAUGUCAACCAGUGGAAAACAAGCACCUAUGAAUUCAAACUACAGAUUUAACAACUUUCCAUUUGAAUGGGAUGUAAUAAAAGCAAUGAGAGAACAAGCUAUUAUACUCCAGUCCAUGUUUUGUGCCAGGCUCCAGAAGCAAGAAAUAGCAAGGAAAGCAAAAGUUUAUUUACACCAGUAGCAUACCCUAUCAGGUUCCCAAAUACUUUGCAUAAAACCAAGAAAGGAAACUAUUUUUACACUACAUAAUGACUUACGUAAAAAAUACUUCUGAAUGUGUGACUUUUUGGUUUAGCUUCCUAGCUCGAACUUGUAAGUACCAAUGAAAUUAGCAGUAUCAAUACUUUUGGGUGUGAUUCAGUGACAUUCUUGCAUACCAUUAAUUUCUUUUGACUUCAGCUGGAGCUGAAGAUGUAUGUAGCUUCUUGGAGAAUCUGUGUUAAGCUGUGUUUCAGAAUGUAUUUCUAUCUACAAAUUACUGAUUUUUCUUUUGCGUGUAGAGGAUAAGGGAAAUCAGCUCGACAGUUCUAUAUAGCCAUUUCUAAUUACUUUGUGUACUGAAACAACCAUAUAAUAUGAUGACUUGAGCCAGUGUCUAGAAGUUGUGGAAAAUAGGGUCAGAAAGGAUCAUGAAGCUGUCUAUUCUAUUGCUCUGCCUCCAAGGCAAGGCUGUUUUUCCUCAAGGCAGAAGUCAUUGCUUCUUUCUUUAAAGUUGUUCUAAAGAGACUCUUAAACAUGUCCCAGUGCAGAGAAGGGGAGAUAGAACAAUAAAAGCAGCAAAUAUAUCUGAAGAUUUUACAAAAUUUUGUUUUCUCCAACAUACAACUUUAGGAUUGUGCGGUAAAUGAAUGUAUGUUAUCUUUGCAGCAUUAAAUGCUUUAGUAAUGUUUAAACUUUUCAGCUAUGUCACGGUGCGAUGUUCUGCCUUGGGGGAGGGAAAGAUUCUUUGUUUGUUUUACCUAUAAAUAGCACAGCAAUAUAUCUUUUUUUCUAAAACUUGAUUUGAGAGUAGAUAUGAAAUUGAAGUUCAGUGUCUGUUCAGUUUUAUUCAGUAGAAACUAAAAAAUCAUGGAAGUAGAUGUGUUUAUUUUUGAAGGGAAUAGAAUGGUCUGUAUUGUGACAUCUUGUUUUCUGGUAAUCUAACUAGCAAUAUUAGUUUUCUUUUUUCUUCCCCAGCUGGCAGAUAAGGACUAGAUAUCUAUUUGCAAAGAGAAACUGAAUAUGAAGUUUACAUAUAUCAGGCUUUUCCGUUAGUAAACAAUGUACUGACUGGAGCAUUCCCAGACCAAGAGUCAUAGUGAUCAAUCCUUUGAAUUAGCCUUUGAAUCCUACUUCUGAUGAUCAAUAGGUGUCCCCUACCUCCCUGCCCACAGGCAAGUGUCCUCUUCUCACUGCCUCUGACUGGAUCCAUUCCAAGCAGAGCCAGACUAGGUAGAAAACAAGCUGUCAAGCAUAUAGUGUCUGAAACAGUGUCUCACGCAUCCCUUUCCUGCCGUGACCUCAAGGUACUCAAGAAUCUGCCUUCUCCCUUGCAGACAAGGGUGGAUCCUUCAAAAUUUAAAAGCUUGCUUGGCGCUCAUUGAGGUAUUAAAGGAAGAGAAGCUGGCAUAUUCUUGCCUGUAAAAUGAUGGAGCCGUUUUUUUAGCUUUACACAGCAUCCUUCUCAAACUGACAGUUACUUAGAGAAGACCAGCCACUGGACUUGUCCUGGACUCAUUGUUAAGUUGGCAACCCAACUAAAACCUGCAGGAACUCCCAAAACGCAAUAAGAGAAGAUUAUUAAUGAAUAGACCUCUAAAGUUGUCACUGCCGGUUCUUCCCUAUGCAGCGAGAAAUGUUUGAUCUGGAUCACUGGUCUUGAAACCAGGGGUACGCAUCAAGAAAUGCUGGUGGCAAGCAAAGAUGAUAACUGGGGACCUUUAAAAAUGAGUUUAAUGAUAAAUAUAUGUCAAAAGUACUUGGCGGUGUUCAGGUUCAAAGGAAAGCAGAAAUAAUCACAGCAGCGAUGCAACAAAUAAUGUGAAGAGCAAAAGCAGUGCUUCCUUAGUGAAAAGCAGACAAAAUGCUAUACGAGAAUUCUUUCCCUUCAAUAGCAUUAAGUUCAUCAAAUUUGGGAUCUUAGGCAGACCUGAGACUUUUUUAUUACGCUAAGCUGAGACUACCUUAUUGUUCUGCAUACCUGGAAAUUUGUGGAGAUGUAGUUGUCUUGUCUCACUGACUGUUUUCAGUAGUUUUACUUAAAGAAAAACUUAGUGCAGAGAAGGAAGUAGUCCUUUAGGUUUCCUAGUAUGAUCAGGAUUUAACUGACAUUUAUUAUUAAAAAUUGCAUAUACCAAACUGAAUAUUGACACAAAAUGCUAGAACAACUUUGAAUAUUAUUUUCAAGUUAUAAGGAAAUAAGUCAUUUCAAAAUCCUUGAAAUACAAAGCAAUAGUAAGACAAUAAUGAAGCAUCUUACACUUCACAUUUAGCCUAAAGAAGUUGAAUAACGUGCAUUUAUGGCUUAACAUCCUUAUUUAUAUGGAAUGCUAACUAAUAGGAAUUAGUUCCAUAUCAUCCAGAUUCGUGUAACAGAACAUUACUUGUGUUCUGAUUCAUUUUCCACAGAGAAGUCUUCAGCUUUAGGAAUUGCUCUUAACUUGGUGAGAAUAGAAUAGGUAUAGUACUCAACUGUAAAAGCAAUAACUGAGUUGCACAACCCAUCAGUGUGACUCAUGCUGUGAAAUUUAAGUUAAGAUGAGCAGAGUGAAGAAAAUGUUGAAUAUAGCUCACUUUAAUAUGAAUAUAUUAAGUUACUAUCUCUGGAACAUUCUGCAUCAAGAACUAAAACUGAAAAAGCAGUAUCACAUUAAAGUACUCAAAUCUACUGUCUUUUAAAGUACGAGAUAAGGACUGAACGUAGCACUAAAGAUUAUGCAUGAGAGAGAAAAACGUUUAAUGCAGACUUUGAUAUUAAGUAGGCUAGGCAAGAAUUGGAACCUAUUUAAGGCGGUCAUAGGCAAUAUGAAGGAGAGUAAAAAAGCAAGCUAUCUACUGAUUCGCAUACAAUUUUGGUGUCUCUGCACUAGAAAGAUAAAUAGAGUAAAACAAAUACAAACUAAAAACAGAUCAGUAGUUGGAGAAAUAAAGUAUGGGAGAAGGCUGUACUUAAUUUAGCAGAGAACAAAUAUAAUGAAGAAAAUCUGUUACAUUGAAAGACGUUCUGAAGAUGAUCUGUUAGAGCUUGAGUGGAAAUGGAGCGGCUAUUCUACCAGUAGACGAAGAUGGAUAGCAUAGCUCUAGGAUGUCUGGACAACAUUAGGAAUAUUGAUACUUUACUGAGAUCUUUAAACAGGAAGUGUUGUGUGGCUUGUCGCAACUACUAUUAUACUUUUUAUAUCUAAGAAAACUGGCAAAGAAUUCAGAUUAAUCUUUAAAAUGGGAUAUCUGCUUUAAUGUACUUUGCAUUCAGCUGUGCCGAAGGGUCACUUUAGAUAACAAUUCUGUAAUGUAUAGCUAGAGUGUGUGUGUUUUAAGUGGUUGUAAGUAGGACUGCAAAGCUGAAGAAACUUUUAUACUGACUUCAGUUUCGGGCGUUAGGUUUAAAAGGUGAGUAAAAAAAGAAUCGUAAUAAUCUGUAUAUCUUUGAUAAAAUGACACUGUUUAUUCAGUAUGUAUUUCAUUUUCAGAUAACUGUUUUAUCUUUUCUUUGCAUAUUUACUAAAUAUCAACCUGAACUAUCACAAUAUUUCUUAAUGUUAAAGUUUCAACAGCAAAACCUUGAUUUUUGUGAAAACAUAAUAAAAAUGCAAGUGAAGCCCUGAUUUUUCUCCUAAAGACUUUGAUCUGGCAUUCAUUGAGGUAUUCUUUCAAUAAACCUCCCCCCAAAGCCUCCACACAGAUAACUUCCACUGAAGUUAAAAUAAUUAGAUGGGCAUGGGAUCUGAAGUUCAUUAAAUUAUUUUGAAUAGCAUAGAAAUAGCUAUUCUGGAAGUAAUUUAUGUAGGAUACAUCUUAUCUACUAAAAUAUGAAAUGUAAUGUGUUUUAGGGGUCUAAUGAUAAUACUGUGUACUUGGUCUAUGCAGUUGCAAUUAUGUAGUAGUGACUUGGGAAAGAAUUCAAACAUAUGUAUAAGCUAGCUUUUAAGUGAGCACUUGGAAGCGUUCUUUGUCCUCAUUCAGCUUACUAUUAAUUAAUGAGACUUUGGCUUAUUCUUGAUAGUCGGUAUGUGCUUAAAUAUUCUCAGUAAAAUGUUCUGAAUCUGA